CAAACAAUUGAAUCAAACAUUUAAUUCCAUUUCUUUUCUUCUUCUUCUUUUUAUGUAGUAAGAUUUUGAGCAAAUAAAAACAACCUUACUACUUUAGAUUUGUACCUUCACAUUGUGGUUUCUAAGGUUCUUUUCCUUCAAUUCUUGAAACCAUAUUGCUUUUAUAAACUCCAAUCCAAUUGGAAAAAAAAAAUUGACAUUCUUUGUUAUUUCUUUAUAAAGAUUGGACCUUUCUUGUAAAAUUUUGACACCCCACUUCAUAUUUCUCUACAAUUUGGGCUAUUUUAGUGUGAAUUAGCUGUUUUUGCUAUACGGGCGGUACAACAUGUCGGAAUCUCAAAGGAGGCCAGCAGUGAUUGGGUUCAGGAGUGGAAAUGGGUACAUCAAUGGUUCACUUCCAUUGAGGUCUCCAAUUUCUAGAGCUGAAGUUGCUGAGUUCUGUCAUGCCCUUGGCGGGAAGCGGCCAAUUAAUAGCAUCUUAAUUUCAAACAAUGGGAUGGCAGCUGUGAAGUUUAUACGUAGUAUUAGGACAUGGGCAUAUGAGACAUUUGGUUCAGAGAAGGCAAUUUUGUUGGUUGCAAUGGCUACGCCCGAGGACAUGAGGAUAAACGCGGAGCACAUUAGAAUAGCUGAUCAGUUUGUAGAAGUUCCUGGUGGGACGAAUAACAACAACUAUGCCAAUGUGCAGCUCAUUGUGGAGAUGGCAGAGAUGACUCAUGUCGAUGCGGUUUGGCCUGGUUGGGGUCAUGCAUCAGAAAACCCUGAACUGCCAGAUGCAUUGGACGCAAAGGGGAUCAUAUUUCUUGGGCCACCGGCUAAAUCAAUGGCAGCACUAGGAGACAAAAUUGGUUCAUCUUUGAUUGCUCAAGCAGCAGAAGUACCCACCCUUCCGUGGAGUGGAUCCCAUGUCAAAGUUCCUCCAGAAAGCUCUUUGGUCUCUAUCCCAGAUGAAAUAUAUGCUAAAGCAUGUGUUUACACGACAGAAGAAGCAAUUGCUAGUUGUCAAGUAGUAGGUUACCCUGCAAUGAUCAAGGCAUCCUGGGGCGGUGGUGGUAAAGGCAUAAGAAAGGUACAUAGUGAUGAUGAAGUUAGGGCACUAUUCAAGCAAGUUCAGGGUGAAGUUCCUGGCUCUCCAAUAUUUAUAAUGAAAGUUGCUUCUCAGAGUCGGCAUCUAGAAGUCCAGUUACUAUGUGAUCAAUAUGGCAAUGUUGCAGCCUUGCACAGCCGUGACUGUAGUGUUCAAAGGCGACACCAAAAGAUAAUUGAGGAGGGGCCAAUUACAGUAGCUCCGCUAGAGACGGUGAAAAAACUUGAGCAGGCUGCUAGAAGACUGGCCAAAUGUGUCAAUUACAUUGGAGCUGCCACUGUUGAGUAUCUUUACAGUAUGGACACUGGAGAGUACUAUUUCUUGGAACUCAACCCUCGGUUACAGGUUGAACACCCUGUAACUGAAUGGAUAGCAGAAAUAAACCUGCCAGCAGCUCAAGUUGCUGUUGGAAUGGGGAUCCCUUUGUGGCAAAUUCCAGAAAUAAGGCGGUUCUAUGGAAUGGAACAUGGUGCGGGAUAUGAUGCUUGGAGGAAAACAUCUAUUGUUGCAACAUCAUUUGAUUUUGAUAAAGCUGAGUCGACAAGGCCAAAAGGUCAUUGUGUGGCUGUGCGUGUAACAAGUGAGGAUCCUGAUGAUGGUUUUAAGCCUACCAGUGGUAAAGUACAGGAGCUGAGUUUUAAGAGCAAACCGAAUGUGUGGGCAUACUUCUCUGUCAAGUCUGGUGGAGGCAUUCAUGAAUUUUCAGACUCUCAGUUUGGACAUGUUUUUGCAUUUGGAGAGUCCAGACCCCUGGCUAUUGCAAACAUGGUUCUUGGACUGAAGGAAAUCCAGAUCCGAGGAGAGAUACGUACGAAUGUUGAUUACACGAUUGAUCUAUUGCAUGCUUCAGAUUACAGAGAAAAUAAGAUACACACUGGCUGGUUGGACAGUAGAAUUGCCAUGAGGGUUAGAGCAGAAAGACCUCCUUGGUAUCUUUCUGUAGUUGGAGGAGCUCUUUAUAAAGCUUCUGCAAGUGGUGCGGCCUUGGUUUCCGAAUAUAUUGGUUAUCUUGAAAAAGGUCAAAUCCCACCCAAGCAUAUAUCCCUUGUGAACUCUCAAGUCUCACUAAACAUUGAAGGAAGCAAGUACACAAUUAAUAUGGUGAGGGGAGGACCAGGAAGCUAUAGGUUGAGGAUGAAUGAAUCGGAGAUCGAAGCAGAAAUACAUACUCUGCGUGAUGGAGGACUUCUGAUGCAGCUGGACGGGAACAGUCAUGUUAUAUAUGCAGAGGAGGAAGCAGCUGGAACUCGCCUUCUAAUUGAUGGAAGAACUUGCUUGCUGCAGAAUGAUCAUGAUCCAUCAAAGUUAAUUGCCGAGACACCCUGCAAACUCCUGAGAUAUUUAGUGUCUGAUGGUAGUCAUGUUGAUGCUGACACACCUUACGCGGAGGUUGAGGUGAUGAAGAUGUGCAUGCCCCUUCUUUCACCUGCUUCAGGAGUUAUCCAUAUUAAGAUGUCUGAAGGUCAAGCAAUGCAGGCUGGUGAGCUCAUAGCAUCACUUGAUUUAGAUGACCCUUCUGCUGUAAGAAAAGCAGAGCCUUUUCGUGGAAGCUUCCCUAUUUUGGGACCUCCAACUGCCAUAUCUGGAAAAGUUCAUCAGAGAUGUGCUGCAAGUCUCAAUGCAGCAAGGAUGAUUCUUGCUGGAUAUGACCACAAUGUUGAUGAUGUGGUUCAUAACUUGCUAAGUUGCUUGGACAGUCCCGAGCUUCCAUUUCUACAGUGGCAAGAAUGCAUAUCCGUGCUGGCAACACGACUUCCAAAGGACCUCAGAAAUGAGUUGGAAGCAAAAUAUAAGGAAUACGAGGGAUAUACCAACUCGCAAACUGUUGACUUCCCUGCCAGAAUUCUGAGAGGUGUUCUUGAGGCUCACCUAAGAAUCUGCUCAGAAAAAGAAAAAGGAGCUCAAGAAAGACUAAUUGAACCUUUGAUGAGUCUCGUCAAGUCUUAUGAGGGUGGAAGAGAGAGUCAUGCCCGUGGUAUCGUCUAUUCACUUUUUGAAGAGUAUCUAUCUGUUGAAGAAUUGUUUAGUGACAAUCUCCAGGCUGAUGUGAUUGAACGACUCCGGCUUCAAUAUAAGAAAGAUCUUCUGAAGGUUGUCGACAUAGUGCUUUCUCAUCAGGGUGUUAAGCGUAAAAAUAAGCUUAUACUUAGUCUGAUGGAGCAACUGGUAUAUCCCAAUCCUGCAGCAUACAGGGAAAAACUUAUUCGUUUCUCAGCACUCAACCAUACAAAUUAUUCCGAGUUGGCACUGAAGGCCAGUCAACUCCUCGAACAAACUAAACUGAGUGAAUUACGUUCAAGUAUUGCCAGAAGUCUUUCUGAGCUAGAGAUGUUUACUGAAGAAGGUGACACUAUGGAUACUCCUAAGCGGAAAAGUGCCAUCAAUGAAAGAAUGGAAGCUCUAGUGAGUGCUCCUUUGGCAGUAGAAGACGCACUUGUAGGCCUUUUUGAUCACAGUGAUCACACCCUUCAGAGGCGCGUUAUGGAGACCUACAUUCGUAGACUCUAUCAGCCUUACCUCGUUCACGGGAGUGUGAGGAUGCAGUGGCACAGAUCUGGACUAAUUGCUACGUGGCAGUUUUUGGAAGAGCAUGUGGAGAGAAAGAGUGGGUCUGGAGACCAUGUGAUGGUAAAACCGUUAGUUGAGAAACACAGUGAGAGAAAAUGGGGAGCGAUGGUUAUUAUCAGAUCUCUCCAAGUCUUGCCAACAGUAUUAACUGCUGCACUGAGGGAGACAGCGCAUGAUUUGCAUGAAGACAUGUCCAAUGGAGUCAGUCAUGGUAACAUGCUGCACAUUGCAUUGGUUGGCAUCAACAACCAAAUGAGUUUGCUUCAGGAUAGUGGGGAUGAAGAUCAGGCUCAAGAAAGAAUUAACAAGUUAGCCAAAAUUUUGAGAGAGAAAGAAGUGAGCUCGAGCCUUAAAAGUGCAGGUGUAAAGGUUAUCAGUUGCAUCAUUCCGAGAGAUGAAGGGAGGGGGCCUAUGAGGCACUCCUUUCACUGGUCAGCAGAGAAGCUGUAUUAUGAGGAGGAGCCUCUACUGCGUCAUCUUGAGCCUCCUCUAUCCAUUUACCUUGAAUUGGAAAAGCUCAAGGUCUAUGAUAAUAUAAAGUAUACUCCAUCCCGAGACCGUCAGUGGCACCUCUAUACUGUUAUAGACAAGCGGCGUCCAAUCCAGAGGAUGUUUCUCAGAACACUUGUAAGACAACCAACAUCAGAUGACAGUUUAUUAGCGGAUCAAGGAUUAAAUCAGGGAACAGCUCCUUCCCCUUUGGCUCUGUCUUUUACUUCAAGAAGCAUUUUGAGGUCCUUAAUAACUGCACUGGAAGAGCUUGAACUUAAUCUCCAUAAUACGACUCUCAAAGCUGACCAUGCUCAUAUGUACUUGUAUAUUUUACGAGAGCAAGAGAUAGCUGAUCUGUUACCGUACCACAAGAGGAUGGACCUAAAUAAUGAGAACAAAGAAGCAGAAGUUCAGAAAAUCUUAGAAGAGCUAGCUCGUGAAAUUAAUGCAUCUGUUGGUGUGAGGAUGCACAGGUUAGGCGUUUGUGAGUGGGAAGUGAAACUUUGGAUAUCAUCUGCAGGAGAUGCAACUGGUGCUUGGAGGGUUUUGGUUACGAAUGUGACAGGUCACACCUGCAUUGUGCAUGUUUAUCGUGAAGUGGAAGAUACAGGUGAACAAAGAGUAGUGUAUCACUCCGCCAUUGGCAGUGGUCCUUUAAAUGGCAUGCCAGUUACAGCACCUUAUCUACCUUUGGCUGUGCUUGACCAGAAACGGCUUUUGGCUCGCAAGAGCAGCACCACUUACUGCUAUGAUUUUCCUCUGGCAUUUGAAGCAGCAUUGGAGAAGUCUUGGGCAAGUCACAAUCCUGUAACAGAAAAGCCUAAGGACAAGGUCCUCCUGAAAGUCACAGAGUUAAGUUUUGCUGACAAAAAUGGAAGCUGGGGUACUCCUCUUGUCUCUGUAGAGCGCCAGCCUGGAUUCAAUGAUGUUGGCAUGGUGGCAUGGAUUAUGGAAAUGUCUACUCCUGAGUUCCCUAUGGGUAGGAAAAUUCUUGUUGUGGCGAAUGAUGUCACCUUCAGAAACGGAUCUUUUGGCCCAAGCGAGGAUGCAUUUUUCCAAGCAGUGACUGAUGUUGCUUGCACACAGAAAAUGCCGCUUAUUUAUUUGGCAGCAAAUUCAGGAGCUCGUAUUGGUGCAGCUGAGGAGGUAAAGUCUUGCUUCAAAGUUGGAUGGUCUGAUGAAUCAAGCCCCGAGCGUGGUUUUCAGUAUGUAUACUUAACUCCUGAGGAUCAUGAACGUAUUAAAUCUUCUGUCAUGGCACAUGAAUUGAAGUUGUCAAAUGGAGAAACUCGAUGGGUGAUAGAUACUAUUAUUGGAAAGGAGGAUGGCCUAGGUGUUGAGAACUUAAGUGGAAGUGGAGCCAUUGCAAGUGCUUAUUCUCGGGCAUAUCAUGAAACAUUUACCUUGACAUACGUAACUGGGAGAACCGUCGGCAUAGGUGCUUAUCUUGCUCGUCUUGGUAUGCGGUGUAUACAGAGGCUUGAUCAGCCAAUUAUUCUUACAGGUUAUUCUGCACUUAACAAACUUUUGGGUCGGGAAGUUUAUAGCUCCCACAUGCAGCUUGGCGGACCUAAAAUUAUGGCAACUAAUGGUGUUGUUCAUUUAACCGUCUCUGAUGACCUCGAGGGUAUAUCAAAGAUCUUAGACUGGUUGAGCUUCAUUCCACCAUAUUCUGGUGGUCCACUUCCUAUUUCAACUCCCUUGGAUCCUCCAGAAAGACCUGUUGAGUACUUCCCAGAUAACACAUGUGAUCCACGCGCAGCCAUUUCCGGCCUCGCAGACGCAAAUGGAAAGUGGUUAGGAGGCAUUUUUGACAAGGAUAGCUUUAUUGAGACACUGGAAGGCUGGGCGAGGACUGUUGUGACAGGCAGGGCGAAACUUGGAGGAAUCCCUGUAGGAAUAGUUGCUGUUGAGACACAAACUAUGAAGCAAGUUAUCCCUGCGGACCCUGGACAGCUUGAUUCUCACGAAAGGGUUGUCCCUCAAGCAGGGCAAGUAUGGUUUCCCGACUCUGCCACUAAAACAGCUCAAGCAUUGAUGGAUUUCAAUAGAGAGGAGCUGCCUCUUUUCAUUCUUGCCAACUGGAGAGGCUUUUCAGGUGGACAAAGGGAUCUCUUUGAAGGUAUCCUUCAGGCAGGAUCGACCAUCGUCGAGAACCUCAGAACAUACAAGCAGCCUGUUUUUGUUUAUAUCCCUAUGAUGGGUGAACUUCGUGGUGGGGCGUGGGUCGUUGUGGAUAGUAAGAUCAAUUCAGACCACAUUGAAAUGUAUGCAGAACAGACAGCCAGGGGAAAUGUCCUUGAGCCAGAAGGUAUGAUCGAAAUUAAAUUCAGAACAAAAGAACUGUUGGAGUGCAUGGGUAGAAUUGACCAACGGCUUAUCGAUCUCAAGUCAAAGCUUCAGGAAGCCAAGAGUGCAGGAGUAUAUGCUAAUGUUGAGGCCUUAGUGCAGCAAAUUAAAACCCGUGAGACACAGCUUUUGCCAGUAUACACGCAGAUAGCUACAAAGUUCGCAGAGCUGCACGAUACUUCGUUAAGAAUGGCGGCGAAGGGGGUGAUCCGAGAAGUAGUAAAUUGGGAAACUUCUCGUUCAUUCUUUUACGGACGUCUGCUUCGAAGAGUUGAAGAGGAAAUGUUGGUCAAAACCGUGAGGAAUGCUGCGGGUGACCAGCUUUCUUACAAAUCUGCUAUGGAUAUGGUAAAAAGCUGGUUUUUGGAUUCAAAAGAAGGCAAAGUAGAUGCCUGGAUAGACGAUGAAGCCUUUUUCUCAUGGAAGAAUGAUCCCAAGAACUAUGAGGAAAGACUGCAAGAGUUGCGGGUGCAAAAGGUACUACUACAGCUAUCAAAGAUUGGUGAUUCGACAUUGGAUUUACAUGCUUUACCACAAGGUCUUCUUUCCCUCCUACAGAAGGUCGAGCCAGCAACCAGAGAGCAACUGAUCAGUGAUCUAAAAAAGGUGCUUAAUUGAUCAAGCAGCGCAUAACCUGUCAGCAAUUGUUGUCUGCUAGGACAGCUUCCUGCUAACCAGUGCGUCCGCCUCCUAGGAGAAGCAGCCCGGUUAGCACUCAAUUGGUUUAAAUUUGUCUCGCGAGGUGUAAAUAUUAGCAUCUUGAGAGUGUGCAGGGUGUAGUCUUAGUUGUUUGAGCAGAAAGAUUUGCGGCUUAGCAGGCUCCUUUAUUGAAAUUUCUGCAGGCCUGAUCUCUAAGAAUGUAUAUUUGCAUUGUUAUCUUAUAUUUAUAGUCUAACAAUUGGUUAGCCUUGGAAUUCAUUUAUUGGAAGUCCAAAUAAAAUAUGAGCUGUAAUUCAUGCCCCUAUUUAGUUGCUAUUCAGAAACUUUGGAAUUGCAACA